UACUCGCAUUUAAAAGUCUCUCUCUACCAUACCAUUUUGCAUUCUCUAUUUAGUUUUGCCUAUUGUUCUACGUUUUUACUCUCAUUAUUCUUUUAGCCCGCUGCUUGCAAUUUGUUGAUGUUGUGGGCACGGUUGCUCUCAUCGUUUCUAUUAAUGUCUGUUAUGAGACCAAGCAUUUUAGCUUGGUUUGCCUGCAAUUCUAUAUUGCUAUGUGUGUGUUUACUCGUGUUUUCUGCCCUGUCUAUUAUUUGGUUUGGAUAUGUAAUACCAGACUAUUAAUUUAUAAAAGUUAGUUGGAUUUCUUAGGUAAUGGUGGGUCCCUAUGCGUGAAAUCCUAGUGAUCCUUUGAUGCAUGCAUGAGUACAUUGGUCAGUUUUUGCUUGGACUAAUUUUUGUAGUCUUAUGUUUUUCUUGUUUCAUGCAACCUCAGAAAGUGUCUCAUUCUGUUUUCAACUCUCAGGAUUGGCACUGACAUUCCAGGUGAUGUUGAUCCCACUUUGGGUAAAAAACUGAUAACUCAUCUAGCCUUUUUGGUUGAUCUGUUUUGUCUCUUUUUUGCCGAAAAAAUGAAUGUCUGCCUGUGUUAGGUGAUUUAUUCUCCUUCCUGGACAUCUGUGUGCAUCGGAGUGUCUCUGAGGUCGUGUACCUCAUUUCCGUUUGUGCUGGAAUGGUUUGCAUUCUUUUGUCCUUGUUGUAUUACAUCCAUCUAAAAGUUUAUAACAGGAUCCCAAAGCUGCUGUUCUUUUAUUUUACCCUUUUUGCUCCCUUAUAUUUUGUUUUGAACUGAUUUGUUUUAUGUGGAACAAAAUGGUAUAUAACAAACAUGGAAAUAGCAUAGCUGCCAAUAUUGCCACUCCACUAUGUUCUGGAGAACUGACAGUGAGGCGGGCUCUGGUGGCAGGCCAGAAGUGCUGUGAGCGCCGCACGCACAGUGGCCGAACAGUCAAAGGAAGCCUGUGGAAGUCAUUGUUUCCGGGAUAUCAAUGGUGGACUUCUUCCCUUUUCAGUCUGUCUUGACCAUCCCCUGCCAUUGCUCUAAAAUAUGUCUUGUAGAAUAAUUAUAAGCUUCUUGUUUUCUUAUUUUUUGCCAAACUGUUUGCUUCUUUCCAGGUCAAACAAAUAAGAUUCAUGCUACCUGUUCUUUGUCUGUGUCUGUCUGUCUCUCUUGGGUUGGGUGGUCUUUGCAAACCGUAUUAGGGUUUUUUCCACAAUCUUUGGAUCUGCUGUAGGCUUCGGUUUCCAAAGUUUCAGUGGGCUUUUUGUUUGUUUGUUUACCUUUUAUACUCUUUAAAUCUUUCUAGGUUAAUACCGAUCAAACAAGGAAAGGAGAGUUUCGGGUUCGAGGUCCAAGCAAUUUUUUUCCAUCGGUCAGCUGAAGAAGAAGGAAAGGAAGGAGACAAUUGAGGGUUUCAGUAUGAUUGGAAGACUCAAUUGACUGAUUGCUUCAGUAGGAUUAGCAGUUAGAAGUGGGACCUGGUGGCCAGCCUGAAUUACCAUUUGGCCCACGUUCACAGUGGCCGGAACAGUUAAAGAGAGCCUGCAGAAAUCCAUUCCCAUUGGUAUAAGUUUUCUUUUCUCCCAUCAAAUUGGUUUAUAUCUUCUUUCUCUUUGUGGGUGUCUCUGGUGAAGUUUAUCAAACUUGAACAGUGGCCAGGGAAAAGCAAAAGAAAGAUAUGAAUUUGAUUGAAUGAUUCAUUCCAGGCAAUCAAAGGCCAUAAUUUAAUUUGCCAUCGUCCUGUGCUGGGUGGUAUGGUUUCCCAGAAUAGGGUUUUUGACUGCUUAAAGACAUGCUUCUUUUUGAACUUCUUUUUUAUUCAAGUUGUAUUUUGGCAAAUCUAAGCUUCUAAUGUCAACAGAGAUGCUGGAGAGACUCCACUUGUAACUUUUCAUGCUGGAGUAUUUUCCUUAAAAAACCCAUAUUUUCUUUCUUUUUUUUCCGUUAUAAAUGUGAUGCCCAUAGAGAAGUUCAUCAUGACAAGGCAUAAAAAGCGAUAUGCUUAGCCCAUUUAAUGUAGAAACCUCUUGCACUUGUAAGAAAGCCUGUAUGCUUAUAGAGGCAUGCUACAUUGAAUAGUUGAAAGCAAAACCCAAUUAUUAAUUCCACCAAUUAUGGAUCCUCCCGUAAGUGAUUAUGCUCAUGGUUGAUUCUUCAUGUCAGUUUAUUAAUUUCGUGGAUUCAUCAAAUUCGGAUGGACUUACAGGUUUGGCAUGACUUUUUAGAUGUGGUAUAAUUUGAUGGUAGAUUUGGUCAAGCGUUGCCAUGCUUCUGCAGAAGCUUUUUUACUCUCUCCACAGAUGCUGGUUGGGAUUAAACUACUUUCUUGAUAGUUCUAACUUCUAUGUGCCAUUCCAUGUGAACACUUUACCUGAAAUUCCUUCUCUUGUUGAAUAGGCAUUUACUUGAGACAAAAUGAACCGAAGAAAUUCUAUUUUGAUGCUUAAUGACUUGAUUUGUUGGCCUCUUGUGUUGCCCUUGGAAUUUCUUUUGGUGUAGGUGGCUUUGCUAUCAUCACAGCUGGUGGAAAGCUCACUCCAUAUGUGCAUCAACCGUGAUGCCAGGAGAGGUAAGAAUGGAUAUAGAAAAUAGGGCUGUUUAGUUUAGUCCUGGUUAUUUUAAUUAAAUUGGCGAUCUUACAUGAGAUGCUGCAUUUUUUAUUUUGUAGAAUAUUGUACAAAUAGUAAAGUUAUUUCCUUAAGAGUGGUCGAGCCGCUUGUGUUUUCUCUGCUACUGGUCCGGUUUCUGUUGUUGACAUUAUGCCUGAUGGUUUCGGUGGCUUUGCCUCAAGAUAUGGGGCAUGGUUUGAUCCUAACUCCAUGUUUUUACAUCUUCUGGGUUUUGCUUUCAAUUCUAACUUCAUUUUUUGGGAUGAGAGUUUGUCUCAUUCAUGCACCUGUAAAUAAAUUAUUUUAUUAUAUAAUUCUCAUUUAAAGUGAAAAUAACAUGAUAAGUAUUUAUAAAGAACGAAAAAUUAAAUUGAAAAGGAUUGUCAUUUUUUUUUUUCUUCUCAAAAUGAGAGAAAUGAAAUGAUCAAUACUAUUUUUCAAGAACUGUGCUUAAUUCUUAAAUUUUUUCCUAAAUGAGGUAGUCAACAUGCAAUAAUUUCCUUAAUUGCAAAAUAAAUUUUGGGGAAUCCAAAACUAAAUUAUCUGUUAGCUGCUUGUUUAUCCCUGCUUAAAAAGAAGUUAUAAUAAAUUAAACUUUUGAAAUUUCUAUUAUUAUAAGGUUAUUAUUUAGUUAAGUGAAGCCUUAUAUAGCUAUCAUUUUUAGUGUAUAUUCUUUUGGCAUGAUAUAACGCCCCACAAAAUAGGUCGCGAUAAACAUUAGUGGUGUGCAUUGCUUGUUUCCUGCCAAAAUUGUUAGAGGGGCUUUUUUCUGACAAAAAUGACAAACAUAUGUUGAUUAAUACAAUUAAAUUUGGAUGAUUGUUGUUGAAUAAUAGCCUAUUCUUCGACAUAUUUAUAACUAUAUGUAGAAGAUGCCCUUUUCGGGAUGAUCGCCUUUAAGAUGGGAAUCUUUGAAUUAAGUUCACCUGUUUUCAUUUUUUUUUUCUUUUCCUUCGGUUCAACUCUUAAAUGCAUUCCUAUUCUCUCUUGUAUAGGUUAUCCUUCCCUUGCAUGGGCUUAUCGCUAUUUAUACUUUGUCUCUUUUCUCUAUGUAUAUUGAAAAUCAUAAUUUCUUCCAUGUUUUUCAUUUGUUUGCAACUGGCUCUAAAUAUAGAACAACUUCAAUUUUAUCUUUGGAGAGUAGUUCAGUUUUAGGCCUGCAAAAUGGUUGAAAUGAGUUAGUUGUAUAUAGAACAGCCCCUUUCUGCUUUCUCUAUAUGUUGCUUAUUGCUAUUAUUUCUCUAAUGUUUUUUUUUUUUUAAAUCAUAUGUAGAUGUAGCCUGUUCUUCAACAUAUGUAAUGUAGAUGUAGAAGAUGUGCUCUCUGGAAUAUCACUUUUAAGAUUAGAAUGGAAUCAAAUUUGAGUUUGAUUCCUCUCGUAGCCUAUUUGUUUAUGAUUGUAGCCUAUUGUUUUAGAAUGGAAUAUCACUUUUAUCAUACAGCCUACUCUUUUUUUUUUUUUUGGCAUGGAUUUGUUGACUAAUUCACGUUUUUCAUUUUUUGGCAACUGGACUAAAUAUAGAACAACUUCAAUUUUAUUGUUGAAGUAAUUUAGUUUUAAGCCUUGCUAUAUUGUUGAAAUAAGUUAAUUGUUUAUUAGCUUUGAUUUUUACUUACGCGCUAUUUGUUACUAGCAGGCAGAUGUAGUCUUUAGUUGUGCUAUGGCCCUUGACGUACUAUGAUUACACAGUGCUUUCAUACAGCCUAUUAUUUGUAGUCUUUAGUUGUGCUAUGAUUACACAGUGCUUAUUGUAUGUUGCUUAUUGUUUUAUAUGGGCAAUUUUUAAUUGCUAAUGAUUGGAAUCAGUGUUUAAUUUGGUGUUAAAUUUUAUACAUAAGAAAUUUGUAGAAGUAGUUUUAUAUAGUAUUCUGUAGCAGAAUUGCUGUGGCAUGUGGUGGACCGCAUGCGUAAUAGAACAACUUCCAGUCCAGGUAUACUUGUUAAUCUUAUUUCCAUUUAGAACAGAAUCCAAAAGCUGUUGAUUUAUUAUUUUAGUCUUCUUCUUUUAGAGUUUGUUUUUGAAUAUUUUUGUUUUAAAUGGAACAAAAUGAGAAACAAGGAAUGUGGAAUGUAGAAAUAUAUCAAAGUUGCAUAUACUGAAUGCAUUAGAACUCUGUGGUUAGAAGCGAAAUAAUUUGAUCUUAAAAUGGAUCUUAUGAAAUGAUAUGCUUCAUCCUUCUUUUUUCUGCUAAACUAUCUUCGGCUAUUUUCUAGGUGGAAGAUGUCCAAAGUGGUUAGGAAGCAAAUCCAAACCAUGAUCACAGUUCAGUGGCUGUCCAUUUGGGGAGAUGCUGCCUCCUUCACUAUGUUCUUGAGGUCUGUUUCAAGCACGAAGUUUACUCUCGUUUGAUUGCUUUGGAAGAGGCCGUGGUUGUAUCCGAUCGGGUUUGAAAGGUUUUGUGUUUGCGAGUGAUCAUUUCCUAACUGUCGCAGCAGCUAGUACAGACAGGUCCAUGACCCAAGCAACUUCUUUACCUUUAAUGUGUAUAGAGAGAUAUUUAUAUUUACUAAUGUUUUAAAUCUUAAAUUCCGAAAAGAAUCUAGAAUGAGGAGUGUUGCCAUACAAAGUUUAAUAAUUAUAGAUUAAUAAAGAAUGAUUACGAGUAUAAAAAGAAAAUAUGGUAGUAUUUUAUUAAUUAAUUUAAAGCAUACUGACAGUUGAUGA